rnacentral:rRNA from 1 species
UAAUACGUAGGGACCAAGCGUUGUUCGGAUUUACUGGGCGUAAAGGGCGCGUAGGCGGCGUGACAAGUCACUUGUGAAAUCUCUGAGCUUAACUCAGAACGGCCAAGUGAAACUGUUGUGCUAGAGUGCAGAAGGGGCAAUCGGAAUUCUUGGUGUAGCGGUGAAAUGCGUAGAUAUCAAGAGGAACACCUGAGGUGAAGACGGGUUGCUGGGCUGACACUGA